CCUACGGGAGGCAGCAGUGGGGAAUUUUGGACAAUGGGCGCAAGCCUGAUCCAGCCAUGCCGCGUGAGUGAAGAAGGCCUUCGGGUUGUAAAGCUCUUUCGGCAGGAACGAAAUGGUUCGUGCUAAUACCACGGACUGAUGACGGUACCUGAAGAAGAAGCACCGGCUAACUACGUGCCAGCAGCCGCGGUAAUACGUAGGGUGCAGGCGUUAAUCGGAAUUACUGGGCGUAAAGCGUGCGCAGGCGGUUUCUCAAGUCAGAUGUGAAAGCCCCGGGCUUAACCUGGGAACUGCGUUUGAAACUGGGAGACUUGAGUGUGGCAGAGGGGGGUGGAAUUCCACGUGUAGCAGUGAAAUGCGUAGAUAUGUGGAGGAACACCGAUGGCGAAGGCAGCCCCCUGGGCUAACACUGACGCUCAUGCACGAAAGCGUGGGGAGCAAACAGGAUUAGAUACCCUGGUAGUCCACGCCCUAAACUAUGUCAACUGGUUGUCGGGAGAUUAACUCUCUUGGUAACGAAGCUAACGCGUGAAGUUGACCGCCUGGGGAGUACGGCCGCAAGGUUAAACUUNAAAGGAAUUGACGG
rnacentral:rRNA from 1 species